rnacentral:tRNA from 6 species
GGCCAGGUAGCUCAGUCGGUAGAGCAGAGGACUGAAAAUCCUCGUGUCGGCGGUUCGAUUCCGUCCCUGGCCACCA